CCGUGACGUCACACUAGUCAGGAGGUAGUCGGGAAGCGGUCAUUUUACAUAGCGUGUCAGUAUUUUUUCACCUUUGCGAUGGAGUUUGUAUGUUUAAACGAGGACAAAUACGAAGCGAGCCAACUUAAUGUUAAAAACGAGGAGUGCUGUGUCCAGCCAUAUGCGUUUGAGCCGUUAGUUAGGCGUGAAUUACGGGUCAACACCGAGGAAAGUGGAGAAAGUAGGAGUAGCGAUGAUGGCCACGCUAGUAGGCUGACAUCGUCGUCGUCCGACUCAGAAUCUGCCAGUGAAGAGUAUAUUGACGACCGUUCCCAUCGACUGACAAAUACUGACUGGUGCAAAUGUGGCAACUGUGUGAUUAUGCCCACAGUGGAUGAAUGCAAGUGCUGCACAGAAACGCACCUUGUUGAUCAGGAAGUCGAGUCAGCUGGGCUGCAAUGUAUAACCUUACAUGAAGGCUUUCAGGGAAACUGCCUCAACCAGUAUGUCCUCAAGGCAUCUUUUGUUGAAUUUUUGGAGGGACAUGGUCCUCUUGGAAAUGAUGAACCAGUAAACGAGAUUUACAGGUUGGAAAGUUCUCAAAUGGGUGUUCAUGGAUGUCUACAAUGUGGUUCAUCACCAACUUCCACUUGGCCACAACCAGCUCAGCAUUUCCAUCACUGCUUGCCCCACACCAAUAUACAUGGUUGGAGAUGCUGUGGAUCCACGAUGAGCAGCUCUUGCUUUUUUGACCAGAGACUAUUCACAGCUGGAAUAAGUACUACAUCCACUAAACAUUAUGGAAGCGGCUAGCUGUAAGUUGCCAAGUGGCAUGGUGCCAUGUGAUGGCUGACUUUUCCAGGUCUUCACAUGAGAGGGGUCAACACUACACUGUGAUGUCAAGGUCACCAUGGUGCCCGAUACCUUUGUAGAUAUUAUUUUGCAGGCAUUCCCACAUAAAAAACACAAGGCUAGGAGGGACUGAAGACACGAUUCGAAGACUAUGAACUUCCUCUCUCUCAUAGGGGUAACCUGUCCGUGGACCUCGAGCCCCAGAAGGCGGCCCUACAGUCCUUGACCAGCAAUGUUAUGUUCAAGAAAACUGGAGAACUGGAGGACAAAAUAAUAAAAAUAAAUCAGCUACUCCUGAUUCUUCCAAUAGUCCAAAUAAACGGGUUACUCUUAA